UCCUGAUUGGCUGCAUCCCAA
rnacentral:misc_RNA from 1 species